rnacentral:rRNA from 1 species
UACGUAGGGUCCGAGCGUUGUCCGGAAUUACUGGGCGUAAAGGGCGCGUAGGCGGUGAAGUCAGUCGGGUGUGAAAGCCCCGGGCUCAACCUGGGAACGGCAUCCGAUACUGCUUCGCUAGAGUAUGGUAGAGGGAAGCGGAAUUCCGGGUGUAGCGGUGAAAUGCGUAGAUAUCCGGAGGAACACCAGUGGCGAAGGCGGCUUCCUGGACCAAUACUGACGCUGAGGCGCGAAAGCGUGGGGAUCAAACAGGAUUAGAUACCCCUGUAGU